AUGAUAGCGGAGAAAAAAAGUAUUUACUUUGGAAAAAAUGUUGAGAUGGAAGAGAAGGCAAAAAAAAGCGUCAUAAAAAAGCUCAGGUGCAACAUUGAAUGUCUUAAAAAGCAAAGAAAUGAAAAUCUUGAACAACUUGAGGAGGUUCCAUGGAAAAACAAAAAAAAUGAGCUUCAGAAGAUUAUAGCACUGAUAGAUGUUGAAAUACGAAACCUUCAAGAGAUCUGCCAUAAACAGGAGGAAGAACUGGAAUCAUUACGGCAAGAAAAAUGCUCCGAUGUCUCGUUACAAGGAUGUCAACAGCUUCCAAAUAAAGAUCAGCAGAUUGCACAGCAGGAGGAAGAGAUAGCUCAACCAAGAGCGAUCCCCUCUCAUGUGGGACCAGUACCAAUCAGGUGCAAGAACAAGCGAUGGCCACGGCAAAAAUGGCGACGGCAACAAUGGCGGUGGAAAAGGAAAUGCGGAAAAUCGAAAAGGACAAAGACAUUAGGCAAAGAGAAACUGCAUCCAGGUGAAACACCCUGUCUGGAAAGCGAAUGGUCAAAGAAAUUACUGGAGAUUUUGAAUAACCUAACUAAACGCGAAUUCAAGGAAUUUAUGUUUCAUCUACGCCAACAAAUCACAAUACCUGAAGCUGAAUCACUUGACAGAGUGGAUCUUGCUGAUAUAAUGCUAAAGGUAUGGGGUACAUCCCAGUGUAUCAGCAAAACUGAGGAUCUGCUGAAAGAUAUCCAGCGUAAUGAUUUGGUGGAAAAACUAAAUACAUUUAGGAAAGGUGAGUCAUUUUAUGCACUUAAAUCUUUUUAAAAUCCUGAUCCCUUCUGCCAAUAUUUAUAUAACUCCCCUGACCUCACAGUUUGCCUUCAUUUACAUAGAAGUUACUUUCAUUUAGCUGACUUAAAAUUGUGUAUCAGUGUAGAUGUGAAAAUAACUGCCCUUCUCUUCCCUUUUCCCUCUCUCAUCCCGAACCUUCCUUUCAUGCUGUUCUCUACUUCGCUCUCUUUUAUUCCCACUUUUCUGCCUCAUUACCCUUCUUUCUCCCACUUUAUCCGCUUUGCUCCAGUCUACUUCCAGACAUUUCCACUCCAUGUUGUCUCAUCUAAUCUCUUAGAUCAGGAGAACAUCCCAGACUCUCCUUUCAUACUGUUCAGGAUUCUGAUCUCGCUGAAGACUUGUGUGUUCAACCUUUGGACAAGAUCCGGGAACCAUGCGCCCUAUUAGCAAAAUGAUAACAUCAUGUUGACAGUGUCAUGAUGCCCUUAACCUGUCCAAGGAAACAGAAAAUCGUCCAAGCAGCAACAACACAAAUCUGUUUUUGAGGUCUUUUUUUCUUUGCUUGAAUAUCUGCAAAGAUGGAUAGGUCAGUUAGAUAAUCUCAGGUUCAGUUCUUAGGCUAUACUCUGGGACUCUAACCAAAAGACUGUAAAUACUGCAGACUUUAACAUUUAAGGAUAACAUUUUAAGUCAACAGUGUACAGGAACAGAGUGCCUUUUGAUAUUUUUGUCAUUGGACUGAAACCCAUAUUCUGGGAGGGAGAGCCCUGCUGCUCACAUCCUACUGCAAAAAAACAUCUCUCAGACUUCUAGAAGUAUUCUCCUAAAGCCUCUCUGAAAUGAGUGGGGGAACCCACAGAGAAGUCAGAAGAGGUCGAGUCCUCCAACAAUGAGGGAAAUGGUGCUUUGCUAGCUGGCAAAGAAGUCACUUGACCAAGAGAUGAACCGCUUUGUGGAAUAAAUUGUAUCUCUGAAGAUCUCCA
ensembl:lncRNA